GCCCUUAGAUGUUCUGGGCCGCACACGCGCUACACUGAAGGAGGCAGCGUGUACUCCUGGAUCGAAAGAUUUGGGUAACCCGCGAAUCUCCUUCGUGCUAGGGAUUGAGGUUUGCAAUUAUCCUUCAUGAACGAGGAAUUCCCAGUAAGUGCAAGUCAUAAGCUUGCGCUGACUACGUCCCUGCCCUUUGUACACACCGCCCGUCGCUACUACCGAUUGAAUGAUUUAGUGAGGACUUCGGACUGGGACCGAUGCGGCUUUCGGGCUGCGUCGGUAUUCUGGAAAGAUGUCCAAACUGUAUCAUUUAGAGGAAGUAAAAGUCGUAACA
rnacentral:rRNA from 1 species